rnacentral:rRNA from 1 species
ACAUGCAGUCGAGGGGUAUUUGUAGCAAUACAGAGAGACCGGCGCACGGGUGAGUAACGCGUAUGCAACCUGCCCUUUACAGGGGGAUAGCCCGUAGAAAUGCGGAUUAAUACCCCAUAGUACUAUUAGAUCGCAUGGUUUGAUAGUUAAAGUUUCGGCGGUAAAGGAUGGGCAUGCGUGACAUUAGCUAGUUGGUGAGGUAACGGCUCACCAAGGCUACGAUGUCUAGGGGUUCUGAGAGGAAGAUCCCCCACACUGGUACUGAGACACGGACCAGACUCCUACGGGAGGCAGCAGUGAGGAAUAUUGGUCAAUGGGCGAGAGCCUGAACCAGCCAUCCCGCGUGCAGGAAGAAUGCCCUAUGGGUUGUAAACUGCUUUUUCGCAUGAAGAACAUCCCGGACGUGUCCGGGACUGACGGUAAUGCGUGAAUAAGCACCGGCUAACUCCGUGCCAGCAGCCGCGGUAAUACGGAGGGUGCAAGCGUUAUCCGGAUUUAUUGGGUUUAAAGGGUGCGUAGGCGGUGAUUUAAGUCAGUGGUGAAAUCCUGCAGCUCAACUGUAGAACAGCCAUUGAAACUGAAUUACUUGAGUAAUCUUGAGGUAGGCGGAAUGUGUAGUGUAGCGGUGAAAUGCUUAGAUAUUACACAGAACACCGAUUGCGAAGGCAGCUUACUAAGGAUUUACUGACGCUGAUGCACGAAAGCGUGGGGAUCAAACAGGAUUAGAUACCCUGGUAGAAUCACUAGUGAAUUC